UUCUACACGAGUAACGGGACUGGUCCCUAAUUGUGUUACAUAACAGGAAACGUUGUUGCAGGCAAGUUAAUUUAUAGGGAAAAAAAGUAAUGAUUGGAAGAGUUGAUCUUUAAAUGUGGUUCUUUUUUCACCUUUAUAGUUUAACAGCUAAUUAUUUGCGGGCAGUUGGUGGAGCAAGUGUAGAGGACCUGACGAGAAGGAUUCUAGCCUACAUUUUCACGAACGAUUAAGCAAAUUUAACUUGAUCCCAAAAACUGAGGAUGAAUGGAAAACUGUAGCACACCAAUUUGAGACCAAGUGGAACUUCAAUAACGCUGUUGGAGCAAUGGACGAAAAACACAUAACAUCAAUUUGAGACCAAGUGGAACUUCAAUAACGCUGUUGGAGCAAUGGUCGGAAAACACAUAGCUAUACAAAAACCAACAGGAAGCGGAUCGCUGUACUUAAAUUAUAAAAAAAAUUUUAAGCAUAGUGUUAUUUGCUAUCGUUGAUGCAAACUAUCAGUUUAUGUACGUACAUGUAGGGGCCAAUGGGAGUGUUUGUGAUUCUACAGUUCUCUAAAACUCAAGUUUUUACCAGAGACUUAUAAAUGAUGAAUUGAGAUUACCAGCGCCAACAGCUUUACCAGGCACGAAUAAGUGCUUCCCAUAUGCUUUCCUUGGAUACAGUGGGUUUAGUCUUAGCCCUUACAUAAU